rnacentral:rRNA from 1 species
AACGAACGCUGGCGGCAUGCCUAACACAUGCAAGUCGAACGAGACCUUCGGGUCUAGUGGCGCACGGGUGCGUAACGCGUGGGAACCUGCCCUUAGGUUCGGAAUAACUCCCCGAAAGGGGUGCUAAUACCGGAUAAUGUCUUCGGACCAAAGAUUUAUCGCCUUUGGAUGGGCCCGCGUUGGAUUAGCUAGUUGGUAGGGUAAAAGCCUACCAAGGCGACGAUCCAUAGCUGGUCUGAGAGGAUGAUCAGCCACACUGGGACUGAGACACGGCCCAGACUCCUACGGGAGGCAGCAGUGGGGAAUAUUGGACGAUGGGCGAAAGCCUGAUCCAGCAAUGCCGCGUGAGUGAUGAAGGCCUUAGGGUUGUAAAGCUCUUUUACCCGGGAUGAUAAUGACAGUACCGGGAGAAUAAGUUCCGGCUAACUCCGU